GUGAUUUUAGCGGGUAUGAAUUUUGUAUAAACAAGUUUUAUGUUGACAAAAACUAAUGUCGUUCGUUUUUUGAGCUCAUACCAUCUUCAGCCUUCUGUGUGGAGCUGCAAACAUUCAUUUAUCAUGAGGCAAUCUGUCAUGCUGAUGGGACAAAGAGGCACCCUUCGAACCCCCCACUCCCUCCUCUGCAAAUGUCCCUGUGGCUACAACAGACCAACAAAGAGACAGCAAAAACCCAGGGGGACGCUAACAGCACGAAGGAGAGGGAAAGGAGAAGAAAGGAAAAGGCCAAAACAAGUGGAAGGAAUAACAUAGUUGAGCGAAAAAAGAACACAAAGUUUGUCUUAGAGACUAAAAAAAUAGAUUUUAAAAGGGUUAGAAAAACUUUUGGUCAUGACAGACACUCAGAGAAGAGCGUGAAGCAGAUGACAGAAGUUCCGCCUCGGGGGACAGAGAUCUGACACAUGGAGCUCAUUCCAGUAAAAGUUCAGAGCUGGUCUAAAGAAAGAAGAGUCCAAUUCAAAAAUUACAGGUGGCUCAAAUAGAUUCUAAAAAAUAUUAAAAAAAUCAAAAACAUU